UCGUGGAGAGUCUCCAUCCAGCUGGAUCUCUGUCACAGGUGAGGAGCUCAAAGAUAAUUCUCAAACUGAUCUCAUUUUGUUUUCUACAUUGACUUUAGCAGGUUUCAGGACAGCAGAGAUGAUUCAUAAUGUGACAUUUCUAACUAAAUUUCUUAACGUUCAACCCACCGUUUGAUAUUUGAUCUUUUUUACUCUACCUAACCUAAGUCAGAAUUUGCAGAGUGUGAAACAAACAAUAUCCAGCAGAGACAUCCAAUACGUCACAAAACCAACCAACAAUGAUAAUGAACCGACAAGGACUGAACAAAACAGAAGGCAAUAUACAUAGAUCAGCCAUAACAUAGGGAAGUAAAUAAAACUGAUUAUUAUGUUACCAUAGCACCUGUCAGUGGGUGGAAUAUAUUUGGCAGCAAAUGAACAUUGUGUGCUCAAAUUUGAUGAGUGUGAAGCAGGAAAAAUGGGAAAGUGCAAGGAUUUGAGUGACUUUGACAAGGGCCUAACUGUGAUGGCUGACUGCGUCAGAGCGUCUCCAAAACGGUCUGCAGUGGUCAGUACAUCAAAAGUGGUCCAAGGAAGGAAAAGCUGUGAACUGGCGACAGGGUCAUGGAUGGCCAAGGCUCAGUGAUGCAUGUUGGAUUUGAAGGCUGGCCUGUGUGGUAUGAUCCAACAGACCAGCUACUGUACAACACCAAAACCCAAAAUCAUGACAGAAACCCAAACCCCCACCCCAGGAAGCUCUUGGUGUUUGGAGUCAGAGUCAGGGUCAGAGUCCAGAGUGUGGUUGUGAAAAGGAAAAGGAUCAGAUGCGAAGAGUGAGGCGAACGGCAGAGGGCAAUACAGGUGGACUGAACAGUUCCGGGGGGAAAACCUGGAGGUCGACCCAACAGGCUGAGCAGGUCAGGAGGUCAACACGCACGUCUAUGCUGGGGAACAGGCAGGCUUCUAGCUGGUUGAGCGAUAGCAUGCAGGAACCUGUUAGCAUGUUGUAGAAUGUAUCAUUCAUUUAUUUUAAUUUCAAUGCUUAAUUAAAGUUUUUUGUACAUUUUAGUGAAAGCCACCCCCUCUCCUCCCGUUACCUCUUCCUCACCCACCUCACCUCCUGGUUCCUCCUCUCCUCCUCUCUCUGUUCAAUCUUUCUGUGUGCUGGUUCUACUGGUUCUACUGGUUCUACUGAUUCUUCUGGUUCUACUGGUGAGACGAUGCAACCGUUGGAAACCUAAAGCUGCUGAAGUAGAAGUUGGGGAUGAUGACAUCCCAGAUGACAUCACAGAUGACAUCACAUACAGUGAUAUCAAAAUAUCACAUCGCCUACAGCAGCCAAUCAGACGCAGCAGAGAGAGUGAACCAGUUGCAGUCUACUCAGCAGUGAGAGGAGCAGGAGACGUCAGUUAUGGACAAAUAGUCAUCAGACCACACAA